CGCCCGCUUCCGGGCGGGCGCACUUCCGCUUCCGGCGGCGGGCUGCGGGGCUCCGCGGCGGAGGUGGUUUCCUUUUCCUGGAGCCGCUGGUGGGUUUCCGAGCGUCCUCGUGAGCUGUCCCCGCCCCGCCCCCUCGGAGGUGGCACCUGCGCAGGAGUCUGAGACAUCCUUUUCCAGAGUUCCAGAAUGGAGACUGAAGGGUACCCAGAAACACAAGGAAAUAGAGACGUCCAUAAUGAUCAAAUAAGGUCGUCGCCAAAUGAGAUAAUGGCUGAGGAGCCGGAAGUUGUCCUAAUAGGGCCUCCCCAGAUCCAGGUUCCACGAGAGCCUUCUGGGCUUCCACCAGAGAGCCGUGAUGAGGACUCUGUCGAGGACCUGGAGCCCACGCCACGAAGGAACCCUCCCAAUGCUGCAGUCUCCAGGCAGAGGUUCAGGAAGUUCCGCUAUGAGGAUGCGGCUGGGCCCAGGGAGGUCCUCAGACAUCUCCAGGAGCUUGCUGGACAGUGGCUGAGACCCGAUAUUCACACAAAGGAGCAGAUUGUGGAAAUGCUGGUGCAGGAGCAAUUCCAGGCUGUCCUGCCGGAGGAGCUCCGAGCUCGGGCGCAGAGAUGUCAGCCUGGGGUUAGGAUCACUGGCUAAAUCUCGCUGCUCGCUUCUUUCUCAGUCUACGUGUGAGAAGUAACCAAAGGUUCUCUGAUGGAAGAUCCAGCUGCCGUCCUGGGAAUCUGAACCUCGUCCUUCUUUGAGCUUGCCUUUGGUUGUAAUAAGAAUCAAUCAGAACCCCUGUCUGGACCUCUUUUUGGCUGAGGCAGCUCUAUUUCCUGGGACUGAACUCCAGAAGGAGUUUCUCUUCUCUCUUCUUAGGACAAUCAGCGUGCUGCUUGUUUUUGCUCUGCUGAAUGCCUCCUUUUUUUGCACUUUGUGACAUGCUUGAAUAUAUUAUUUUUAUGUAUCCAAAGAAGUAAUUGCUAUAACUAUCAGAAAUCUUGAUUCUUGUUGUGGUGGCAUGAAGGGGAGCUUCUGUAAUCCCACCGGUCAUCUUGACUUUCUGUGUGCAGAGACCUGUACUUUGGUUAACAGCUGAGACAGAGCCGGAGCUGUGGCUGUGACAGACAGAGAGUAAACAGCAGCUGCUUCCCCAGUAUGACGCCGUGUCCAGGAGCCUUUCUGCCUCUGUGGCCUGGCUCCUGGAUUUGUACAUCUGCUCCUGCAACAAACGCAGUGCCAACUCGGAAACUAAUCUUUUGGGCAAAGGGUUGGUUAGCUCCUUGCUGGAAGUCAUGUUUAAUCUGCUGAUGUCUGUUUAGUACUUCCUGUGCCUUCAGGACUGUUCUAGAUGCCAGGAUAUAAAUAUAAAGCCAAGUUUUAAGGAAAUAUAUAGUUUUUGAGGAGAGAGGAAGAAGCCAUCAAAUAUAUUGUUAGAAAUGCUAGAGAAAAACUAGUCAUCUUUCGGUAUCUGCUUUUAAGAUAACACUAAGAAAGCACAUUUCUUAUUUUUAAAAAUGUAUUAAAAGCAAAGAAGAGAGGAAAUAGCCAAGUUAGGGAAGUACAUUUUAAUUGACGUUAGGCAUAGGAGAUUAAUGGACACAAGGCACACCUUGGCCCAAAGCAGGAGGAUGCAGAAACGUGUAGUGUCUUGGGGAUAGUGAACAUACGGAGGAGUGAACCAUUCCUUUUAUUGACGAGGUUAAGCUUUUCUAAAUUCUAGGAGUAAAAUUGAACGUUGACAAAGGAAUUAGUAACCCCGAGAGGCUCACAGUGUCUCCAGCAAUUUAGUUUGUUCGGGACAUUCUGAAGGCAUUUCCUUUAGGCUGCAGGGAUCAAGAACUCUUGGUGUUAAGGAAUUUCCUGGCCUGCGCCAGUUUCUCGGCUGCUUCCAUGAUCUAGAAUUAGCUUGCAAGUAGAGGACCCAAGUUUCCAGGUGGACCCAAAAUUGUCACCUUAGGGAUUUUAUGGCGAGACAGCUCAGUUUCCCUGAGUUGAGCGAACUUAGCACAGAUUUUCUCAACCUUGAUUUUGGGCCAGAUAAUUCUUUUUUGUAGCGGCUUGUCCUCUGCAUUAUAGGAUGUUUAGAAGCAUCCCCAGCCUCCACUCUCUAGAUGCUAGUAACACCCUGGUAGAUGUGACAACCAAGAAUGUCUCCAGACAUUACCAAAUGUCCCCUGUUUAGUUUAGAACAGACUAAGGUACUGGAGAUACUCUGACCUUCUUGGGGUUACUAACUCCUUUAUCAGUGUUAAAUGUUACUCUUAGAAUGCCCAGUUGCCCGUGGUUGAGAACCACCGAUUUAGUAGGAAAGUUCAUCACAGACAUGCCACAGAUUACCCUGAGGUCCCCGGUCUCUUAAGCUUGAUGUUGGCUUGAGAAAGCUGUAGAAAGAGUGGUAUAAGUUGGGCUUUAUAUUCCCUCUGUGUGUUCGUGUAAUGCCUUCUACUCGGGCAAAUGUUAAGAAGCUCUUUGGUAUGAAGAUUACUACUACACCUCCAACCUUUAGAAUGUUUUAUUAGGAUGCUUGACUGUGUGCCCGGAUCUGGACCAUAUGCAUGCAUGAUUCAUUUAAUCCUAACUGUCAUGUGAGUUUACCUUUUCAUGUAAAUAUAUGUGCUUUAUAGAUGAGAAAACUGGGACCCAGCAGUUAAGCAACAUGGCCAAUAAGUGGUGGAGCUAGAAUCUGAGCCUUGGAUUUCUGUCCCUGUAAUCUUGGUUUUUUUCCAUCAUGUCUGGAAAUGUUAAUUCAACAAGCAUCUCUUGAGAAUCUCCUGUGUGCAAGAUGUUCUCCUUUUGCUUUUUUUCAUCUUUAUCUUACAAUUUAAAAUAACAUUUCUUAGAUUCAUUUGGUACAGAAAAAGUAUGAAAAAAAGCCAAAAAUGGUCCAUAAUCUCACUUCCUAGGUAACUCCUGUUACAUUUUUUAGGGUAAAAGAUAUACUUGCAUGUGGAUAGAAAAGUCCAACAGUAUAAAAUGGUAUAAAAGGAAAAUUUAAAGACUUUUCCCAUUAACAGUUUCUUAGGUAUCCUUCCAGAAAAUAGGAACUACACAUAUGUAAGCUGAUAAUGCAUACCUGUGCACAUGCACACACAUCCCUCUUUUUAUUUACACAAAAUAUAUAUUAUGCAUGUUUAGUAUAUUUUUUUUCUUGUCCAAUAAGUCUUAGAGGUCUUUUGCUGUCAACAUAUGGAGAUUUACUUUAUUAAAAAAAGAUUUUUGGGG